rnacentral:rRNA from 1 species
UACGUAGGGGGCAAGCGUUUGUCCGGAAUUAUUGGGCGUAAAGGGCUCGUAGGCGGUUCGUCACGUCGGGAGUGAAAACUGGAGGCUCAACCUCCAGCCUGCAGUGGGUACGGGCAGACUAGAGUGCGGUAGGGGAGAUUGGAAUUCCUGGUGUAGCGGUGGAAUGCGCAGAUAUCAGGAGGAACACCGAUGGCGAAGGCAGAUCUCUGGGCCGUAACUGACGCUGAGGAGCGAAAGCAUGGGGGAGCGAACAGG